AGCCAAUGCUUUGGGAGAACAGGUUCAGUCCAGAGGGAGGAUCUGAGGAAGAUUCCAGCUGGAUUCAGUUCACAGCUUCUAAUUUGGAGCAAGUCCAGGCUUGGGAGGGACAGGGGAUGGCAAGAAGGCAAACUGGGUCUGAUCUCAAACAUCUCAUCAAAGGACAACACCUGCACACAGCAGCACACGGGGACAGAGGCAGAAUGAGGGGGAGCAGUGUUCAAACCAUGUCAACUUCAUUUCACAGGAGGAAACAACCCAUGGAACAUGCAAAAGCAAUGAGCUUUAGUAGCUUUUAAAAUGUUUUUAAACAUUUCCAUCACCCCUCUGUGUU
rnacentral:lncRNA from 12 species